rnacentral:rRNA from 1 species
CCCUUAGAUGUCCUGGGCCGCACGCGCGUUACACUGAUGCAUUCAACGAGCUUAUAACCUUGGCCGAGAGGCCUGGGCAAUCUUGUUAACGUGCAUCGUGAUAGGGAUAGAUUAUUGAAAUUAUUAAUCUUGAACGAGGAAUUCCUAGUAAACGCAGACCAUCAAUCUGCAUUGAUUACGUCCCUGCCCUUUGUACACACCGCCCGUCGCACCUACCGAUUGGAUGGUCCGGUGAAGCCUCGGGAUUGUGGUUCUUGCCGCUUUGUUGUGGCGUGACCGCGAGAACUUGUCUAAACCUUAUCAUCUAGAGGAAGGUGAAGUCGUAACA